rnacentral:lncRNA from 1 species
CUCCCAUUCAUCUGUAGCUGGACCCAAGACGACUCAAGACAGACCGCCAGAUCCGGACAGUGACCCAAAGUCUCCAAAGAAGAUUACGAGGCACCUCAGUUCCUGCACCUGGACCAGUGAGAGAGAUGCUCAGAUGUGAUACCUGCCGCCUGCCAGAACCUGGCCGAGACUGUGGACAAAGCUGCUGGACACUGGAAAAUUGAUUGUACCCCUUUGCCUAGACAAAACAAGGUUUCUGCUUCUGGCAGACAUCUGAGUAUCAGUUGCGGACUACAGGCUGUUCUAAGUAGACUGCGAGCCCUGGACUUGCUGUGGAUGUGAACCAAGUCAGCUGAUGUGGACACUCCCUGACUCUGCAACAGUGUCUGCUAACCAGAAGCCCCUGAUGGAUUCCCCAUUGCCUAAAUUCCUUUUUGCUUUUGACUAGCAUUUCAACCUUCUGGGGUCCCUAACUUCGUCCCAAAGUCAGCAGGAAGCAGUUUG